rnacentral:rRNA from 1 species
GUGCUGAAAGCAUCUAAGCACGAAACUUGCCCCGAGAUGAGUUCUCCCUGAGACUUUAAGUCUCCUGAAGGAACGUUGAAGACGAUGACGUUGAUAGGCCGGGUGUGUAAGCGCAGCGAUGCGUUGAGCUAACCGGUACUAAUGAACCGUGAGGCUUAACCUUACAACGCCGAAG